GACGAACGCUGGCGGCGUGCCUAAUACAUGCAAGUCGAACGCAGUGGGGACGGGUGAGUAACACCUGGGUAACCUCCCAUCAGACGGGAUAACACUUGGAAACAAGUGCUAAACCGAUACGUCAGUAUGAACCCGCGGUGCAUUAGCUAGUUGGUGAGGUAACGGCUCACCAAGGCCAAGAUGCAUAGCCGACCUGAGAGGGUGAUCGGCCACACUGGGACUGAGACACGGCCCAGACUCCUACGGGAGGCAGCAGUAGGGAAUAUUCGGCAAUGGACGAAAGUCUGACCGAGCCACGCCGCGUGAGUGAAGAAGGUUUUCGGAUCGUAAAGCUCUGUUAUUAGAGAAGCGGUAUCUAACCAGAAAGCAACGGCUAACUACGUGCCAGCCGCCGCGGUAAUAC
rnacentral:rRNA from 1 species